GUAAACUGACUUUAUUACUGGAAUAAACCCUCGCUACGGUGUAGUGGGCGUGAAUGUACAGUAAGAAUAAGGAUCGGCUAACUCCGUGC
rnacentral:rRNA from 1 species